CCUACGGGAGGCAGCAGUAGGGAAUAUUGCUCAAUGGGGGAAACCCUGAAGCAGCAACGCCGCGUGGAGGAUGAAGGUUUUAGGAUUGUAAACUCCUUUGUUAGAGAAGAUUAUGACGGUAUCUAACGAAUAAGCACCGGCUAACUCCGUGCCAGCAGCCGCGGUAAUACAUAGGGGGCAAGCGUUAUCCGGAAUUAUUGGGUGUAAAGGGUGCGUAGACGGAAGAACAAGUUGGUUGUGAAAUCCCUCGGCUCAACUGAGGAACUGCAACCAAAACUAUUCUCCUUGAGUGUCGGAGAGGAAAGUGGAAUUCCUAGUGUAGCGGUGAAAUGCGUAGAUAUUAGGAGGAACACCAGUGGCGAAGGCGACUUUCUGGACGAUAACUGACGUUGAGGCACGAAAGUGUGGGGAGCAAACAGGAUUAGAUACCCCAGUAGUC
rnacentral:rRNA from 1 species